ACCUGGGUGGCUCAGUUGGUUGAGCAUCUGACUUCAGCUCAGGUCAUGAUCUCACACUAUGUGAGUUCAAGCCCUGCAUCAGGUU
rnacentral:tRNA from 1 species